rnacentral:rRNA from 1 species
UACGAAGGUGGCAAGCGUUGUUCGGAUUUACUGGGCGUACAGGGAGCGUAGGCGGUUGGAUAAGCCCUCCGUGAAAUCUCCAGGCUUAACCUGGAAAGUGCAGAGGGGACUGUUCAGCUAGAGGAUGGGAGAGGAGCGCGGAAUUCCCGGUGUAGCGGUGAAAUGCGCAGAUAUCGGGAGGAACACCAAUGGCGAAGGCAGCUCGCUGGGACGGUACUGAAGCUGAGACGCGAAAGCGUGGGGAGCAAACAGG